rnacentral:pre_miRNA from 1 species
CGAUGGUGCCGCACAGUGCUCGGAGAUAUUGUCACGUGCUACCCCAUUCUGAUAUGAUAUCACCCAGCACCACGCGUGUCCAUUG